AUUUAAGUAAUUUAAUUAAAAUAUUGACUUGUGGCGUCAAAAAUGUAAAGUAUUACCUUAAAUU
rnacentral:tRNA from 1 species